rnacentral:rRNA from 1 species
UUUAUGGAGAGUUUGAUCCUGGCUCAGAGUGAACGCUGGCGGCGUGCCUAAUACAUGCAAGUCGAACGGAGUAUUAAGAGAGCUUGCUCUUUUAAUACUUAGUGGCGCACGGGUGAGUAAUGUAUAGUUAAUCUGCCCUACACUGGAGGACAACAGUUAGAAAUGACUGCUAAUACUCCAUACUCCUUCUUAACAUAAGUUAAGUCGGGAAAGUUUUUCGGUGUAGGAUGAGACUAUAUUGUAUCAGCUAGUUGGUAAGGUAAUGGCUUACCAAGGCUUUGACGCAUAACUGGUCUGAGAGGAUGAUCAGUCACACUGGAACUGAGACACGGU